UACAGAGGUCUCAACCGUUGUUCGGAUUCAUUGGGCGUAAAGGGUGCGUAGGCGGUCGCGCAAGUCGGCUGUGAAAUCUCAGGGCUCAACCCUGAAACUGCAUUCGAUACUGCGUGGCUAGAGUGCUGGAGAGGAGACUGGAAUUUACGGUGUAGCAGUGAAAUGCGUAGAUAUCGUAAGGAAGACCAGUGGCGAAGGCGAGUCUCUGGACAGCAACUGACGCUGAGGCACGAAGGCCAGGGGAGCAAACGGG
rnacentral:rRNA from 1 species